CAUUCGAGUGCGGACGGGUGAGUAACGCGUGGGUAACCUGCCUUACACAGGGGGAUAACACCUGGAAACAGGUGCUAAUACCGCAUAAGCGCACAGGGCCGCAUGGCCCGGUGUGAAAAACUCCGGUGGUGUAAGAUGGACCCGCGUCUGAUUAGCUUGUUGGCGGGGUAGGGGCCCACCAAGGCGACGAUCAGUAGCCGGCCUGAGAGGGUGGACGGCCACAUUGGGACUGAGACACGGCCCAAACUCCUACGGGAGGCAGCAG
rnacentral:rRNA from 1 species